GGUUUCCUGGUGCUUACCACAGGCUGUGUUCGUACACUGACUGUACAGAAUUAGGAGGCAGAGAUCUUCUGGUGGGGCAAGGUGUGCUUUUUAAAACAUGUUCCCUUCAAUGUUUUAAUACAAAGAGGUAUGACUGGUGGUUAUCAUUCUUAUUUUAAAGGCACGGAAACAGAGCUGCAGAGGGGCUGGUCUGUAUUGUGAAUGGGGAGACAUUG
rnacentral:snoRNA from 1 species